UGAUGUGUAGGAUAGGUGGGAGGCUUUGAAGCGUGGACGCCAGUCUGCGUGGAGCCAACCUUGAAAUACCACCCUUUAAUGUUUGAUGUUCUAACGUUGGCCCCUGACCGGGGUUGCGGACAGUGUCUGGUGGGUAGUUUGACUGGGGCGGUCUCCUCCCAAAGCGUAACGGAGGAGCACGAAGGUUAGCUAAUCCUGGUCGGACAUCAGGAGGUUAGUGCAAUGGCAUAAGCUAGCUUGACUGCGAGCGUGACGGCGCGAGCAGGUGCGAAAGCAGGUCAUAGUGAUCCGGUGGUUCUGAAUGGAAGGGCCAUCGCUCAACGGAUAAAAGGUACUCCGGGGAUAACAGGCUGAUACCGCCCAAGAGUUCAUAUCGACGGCGGUGUUUGGCACCUCGAUGUCGGCUCAUCACAUCCUGGGGCUGAAGUAGGUCCCAAGGGUAUGGCUGUUCGCCAUUUAAAGUGGUACGCGAGCUGGGUUUAGAACGUCGUGAGACAGUUCGGUCCCUAUCUGCCGUGGGCGCUGGAGAAUUGAGGGGGGCUGCUCCUAGUACGAGAGGACCGGAGUGGACGCAUCACUGGUGUUCGGGUUGUCAUGCCAAUGGCACUGCCCGGUAGCUAAAUGCGGAAGAGAUAAGUGCUGAAAGCAUCUAAGCACGAAACUUGCCCCG
rnacentral:rRNA from 1 species